AAAGAAAUGCCACGUUUAAUAUUGUCGGACAAGUCAAAGUUUGACUGAAGUGGAACAAGGGAAUUACAAUUCAUUAAUUAGGUUAUUAAUAAAGAAAAAUGUGUACAGAAGAAAACGCAGGGUGACAGCGUGUGGUUACCGUCUAGCAGAUCAUUCCCGGACUUUUAUCUGAUAAUAAUUGAUCACUAAAAAAUAUGUGGCGAAAUCUUAUUGGUUAAUCUGUAGGUAG
rnacentral:misc_RNA from 1 species